rnacentral:rRNA from 1 species
UACGGAGGGGGCGAGCGUUGUCCGAAGUUACUGGGCGUAAAGCGCGUGUAGGCGGGUUGCCAAGUCCGCUGUGAAAGCCCGAGGCUCAACCUCGGAGGGUCGGUGGAUACUGGCAGUCUUGAAGGUGCUAGGGGGAGAUGGAAUUACCGGUGUAGCGGUGAAAUGCGUAGAGAUCGGUAGGAACACCAGUGGCGAAGGCGGUCUCCUGGGGCAUUCUUGACGCUGAGACGCGAAAGCGUGGGGAGCAAACAGG